UCCAGACUCCUACGGGAGGCAGCAGUGGGGAAUAUUGCACAAUGGGGGAAACCCUGAUGCAGCAACGCCGCGUGAGUGAAGAAGCGUUUAGGCGCGUAAAGCUCUGUCAGCGAGGAAGAAAGAAGACGGUACCCGACCAAGAAGCCCCGGCUAACUACGUGCCAGCAGCCGCGGUAAUACGUAGGGGGCAAGCGUUAUCCGGAUUUACUGGGUGUAAAGGGAGCGUAGACGGCAGUGCAAGUCCGGAGUGAAAGCCCGGGGCUCAACCCUGGGACUGCUCUGGAAACUGUAAAGCUGGAGUGCGGGAGGGGCAGGCGGAAUUCCUGGUGUAGCGGUGAAAUGCGUAGAUAUCAGGAGGAACACCGGCGGCGAAGGCGGCCUGCUGGACCGUAACUGACGUUGAGGCUCGAAAGCGUGGGGAGCAAACAGGAUUAGAUACCCCGGUA
rnacentral:rRNA from 1 species